UUUCUUCUCUCUUCGUCUUCGUCGGUCAGUUAUCUUUUCCCCACUCCGCCGCCGCCGCCGCCGCCGGUCGAUCGGUCGGCGGCGAUGGUCGAGCUCGAUGCCUCCUGCUGAUGGUGCCAAAGAGCCCCCACUCCAUCGUAUUAGGACUAGGAGAGCCAGCCGAUUUGAUAUUUGGGAGCAGGCAGAGGCAGGCAUUUCUUCAACCAGGAAUGGAUCCCUAGCGGCUUAGCAAUUUGCCUGCAGUGAGUUGGAGGGAGUUCAAGCUGGUUGUGUGAGUGUGAAGCUUCUCUUUUCUUUUGCGGAGUAGCAAGCAACGGCGGGAGUUGGAGGGAGAUCUCCCGUCGCGGUCCCAUGUACGUUACGUGUAUGGAUCAUUGAUUCUUAUAUGAAGGAAGCUGCGCCAACUUGACCUGAACCUGAAUCUGGAGAAGAACAGGAAAUGUGAAUCUCAAGCUGGAGAAGAAAGGCAAAAAAAUAAAUGUAGUCGAUCAGCCCAUAGGCCUGCCUCAUCAACGCAGCUCGUUGGUGCAUUUCCAACGGAAGGACUGAUUCCUGAAGACCACGUCGUGGCAAUGGUUCCAUUGGACCCAGAAGCAGAGGAGGUAGAACAUCUGGAGAAGUCGGAAGAAAUACAAAGAAGAACUCUGUUGGGAACGCAACUGCUGAAACGGGUGGUCGGUGAAGUAUACAACUCGAAGUAUGGACAGCGACAUGAUAGGAGCGGGCUGGAGGACUGACUGAUGGGGUUGAAGCUGACAAAUGAAGUUCAAGAGGAUCGAAAAUGUGAGAAAACGUGGAGAAAAGGUUCAUGCUGAAGUUCUUUUGAGACUCCUGGGAGCUGGGACCAUGUGUUGAGUCCCCUGAGUAAUGUUGAUCGAUAGUUUGUAGUGGUAGUUGCUGCAGGGGGAGGCUUGGAGCUGACCAAGUGGGUUGGCGCUAGAUCUCAUCUCACCCUUCCCUGCUGUGUUGGCGUUGUUUUCUUUCUCUGUUGAACCUGUAGUGCUAAACCUGACGUUUCUCAUCAUGGAAAUGAGAGAGGGCUUUGGCCUAUCUUUGAUUUUUUUUAAAAAAAAGAAAAUAUAAGAAAUGCUUUUGACAAGCGCCCAAUUCCAAAAAAUGA